GUUGAAGUCGAUCGAAGCCCUCCGAUCCACUCGUCUUAGUCUCUGUCUCAAUCGAUCCACUCGUCUGCCUCAAUCUCUGCCUCAGACCACUCGUCUCAGUCUCUGUCUCAGACCUCCGAUACAGACGACUUCGAAGGAAAAAUGUCUAGCUCAAAUUCUGCCAAUAACACACAAUAUACCUUUGAUGCUGAAGAUGAUAAGCCACUGUGGAAAUAUGUGACUAGAUUAGAAAAAUCUGGUGCAAGAGGAGGGAACUAUACUUUUCAAUGUGCUUAUGUGAAGAAUAUUAUUGGAUGUUGAAUGCUUUCUCCUUAUAUUUAUUAUUGGAUGUUAAAUCUUUUA